UGGGGAAUAUUGCGCAAUGGGCGGAAGCCUGACGCAGCGACGCCGCGUGGGGGAUGAAGGCCUUCGGGUUGUAAACCUCUUUUACCACUCACGCAGGCCUUGGGUUUUCCUGGGGUUGACGGUAGGUGGUGAAUAAGGACCGGCUAACUACGUGCCAGCAGCCGCGGUAAUACGUAGGGUCCGAGCGUUGUCCGGAAUUAUUGGGCGUAAAGCGCGCGCAGGCGGUUCUUUAAGUCUGGUGUAUAAGCCCGUGGCUCAACCACGGGACGCACUGGAAACUGGGGGCUGGAGUGCAGGAGAGGAAAGUGGAAUUCCACGUGUAGCGGUGAAAUGCGUAGAGAUGUGGAGGAACACCAGUGGCGAAGGCGACUUUCUGGCCUGUAACUGACGCUGAGGCGCGAAAGCGUGGGGAGCAAACAGGAUUAGAUACC
rnacentral:rRNA from 1 species